GACCCAUCAAACUCUGAGACUGAAAACCUCUCCAGCAGUAUUUCUUGGCUACCAGAUGUUAUACAGCUGCAUUGCAAAUUGUUAUCUGAGCUCAAAAGGGAAGAAAAGAGAGGACUGUUGAAGCCGUGAAGGGACAUGACACAGUAAAUCGUGCAUUUAAUUUCAACUUAAUGUGAGAGAUAGCAUGCAUUAGAUAAAUAUUGUCUGAUCAUUAAAAACAUAUUUAUGGAAGUUUAGCAACUUUGUUGGGGAUGUGUGACUAAUAAUACAGAAUUGUGAGGC
rnacentral:lncRNA from 1 species